rnacentral:lncRNA from 1 species
CGGGGGCGGAGGCGGAGGCGGAGGCGGCGUCGUCGGCGUCGGAGGCAACCGGCUUGAGGAGCGUCGGAGUCGGGGGCGUCGGAGUCGCGAGAGGGCGUCGGGGGCGGAGGCGGCGUCGUCAGUGUCGGAGUCGGGGGCGACGGAGGCAACCGGCUUGAGGGGCGUCGGAGUCGAGAAUGGAGAGAGAGAGCUCGUCGGCGAGAAUGGAGAGAGAGAGCAGAGGAGGGGGAAGAGAAGCAG